rnacentral:ncRNA from 1 species
CUGUGCAUGAACCGGUGCUUGUUUCCUAGCCAUGGGUUCUUGAUGAUGCCAUCUAUUUGGAACUGUGUAGCAGCUUCCUAGGUAGUCUUCACCCCAUGGCUAGGAUCGGGCUGAAAUUAUACGGUCACAACUUGAUCUGGAUAAUACCAGCGAAAGGAUCAUGCUUUCUGUCUUC